AGCAUGGCAUCGACGACAGAACUGGCAACCAAAGAAGAUUUCGAUGAAGAAACAAUUUCUCACCGUGAUCCUGGUUGAAUCCCGCGUACAGUAGUCCGUUCCCAUGUGCGUUUGAUGGUAGUAGAUUCAUUAUUUCGAUCAGAUGAUCACAGUCGUACGUUAGACAAUUUUUCACAGAAUGCUAGCUAGCUACCAUUUCUCCUGUGCCAGACAGCCAGUUAGGAAAAACAACACAGCUCUUGGUUCAUCCAGGACGCUCAAAAGAGCACCGAGUAAUCGAGUGUGAGUUUCAUCAAAGAUGGUGGAUAAAUAAAGAUAGUUCAAUCAGGCCGUUUACCGUUGUCUGCUUAAGGGGAUGGCACUCCCAUAGACACCAAUGCGAUAGCAGUCAGCUUUCAGAGGUUCUCAAAGUUGGGAGAGGUCCGUGGAGGUACUGCAGGGGGUCCGCGGCCAUAUCUCAAAAUAUGUUUUACAUGUAAUUUUUUUAUUAAUAAUACUAACAACAGAUUAAACUACUUUUGGCCAAGGGAUCCAUGGAAUAAGUUUAACGUGUGUAAUAGAGACCCACAGUGUAGGUGUCAUAAUUCCCAUAAAAUCUAGCGGUCAAACAGGAAAAUGGUUUCAAUCGUUUUUCCAACAUUCAUUUUUCCCAUAGGGGAUUUUAGAAACACUUAAAAUAAGGGCAGUGUUUUGUGUAGGCUUACCCUGGCGUGACGUUUUGAUAACUGAGCAAAUUUCUCUUGGGCAAGGUAACUUUUAUCAAUAUAUUUGCCUGUAAUUACCCACAAAAAUGAAAUGCUAAUGUGGCUAUCAUACAGAAAGAAAGUACUACACACUCAAAGCCCAAGGUGGGAAAAUCUUCCACACAGAGGCUUUGCUGGAGCUGUGGGAUAUGAUGGGCGGACCGUGUCUGCAGCUGCCAUUUUCCGGUGGGAAAGAGAAAUGGCCAUGUAUUUACUAGGAAAGGAUCCACCAUGGCAGAAGAGGAAAAGCCACACUGUUGAAUGGGGAACAAGAACAAACAAUGAGGCAUGAGGAUUGGGUGUUGAGGGACCACUUGCCACAUUGUCCAAUUCCAACAGGAGUGCAUCCCUCAGACCAUCCAGUGCAUAGACAUCUUAGGCCAGUGUGAUCCGAGCGUCCGGUUGUAGAGACUACAGCACAUUGACCCUGUGGACGGACAAGCCAAUAACUCAUCAAAUAUGAUACAAUAUUGUGUAAAACAUUGAAUUUGUAGAUGCAUCUAGGGCUGUGGCGGUCACAGUAAUUUACUGUUAAUUAACAUAAAC